rnacentral:rRNA from 1 species
CAGGACGAACGCUGGCGGCGUGCCUAAUACAUGCAAGUCGAACGGUCUUUCUAUGGAAGCUUGCUUCCACUGAGAAGAUAGUGGCGAACGGGUGAGUAACACGUGGGUAACCUGCCCAUAAGAGGGGGGAUAACAUCCGGAAACGGGUGCUAAUACCGCAUAGUUUUCUUGAUCGCAUGAUUGAGAAAGGAAAGACGGCCUUUGUGCUGUCGCUUAUGGAUGGACCCGCGGCGUAUUAGUUAGUUGGUGAGGUAACGGCUCACCAAGACGAUGAUACGUAGCCGACCUGAGAGGGUGAUCGGCCACAUUGGGACUGAGACACGGCCCAAACUCCUACGGGAGGCAGCAGUAGGGAAUCUUCCGCAAUGGACGAAAGUCUGACGGAGCAACGCCGCGUGAGUGAAAGAAGGUUUUCGGAUCGUAAAACUCUGUUGUCAGAGAAGAACAAGUUGGAGAGUAACUGCUCCAGCCUUGACGGUAUCUGACCAGAAAGCCACGGCUAACUACGUGCCAGCCGCGGC